rnacentral:ncRNA from 1 species
CCAAAAACUAAUGAACCAUACUGGGCCAGGUUGAAGUCAGAAGAAAUCGCGAUACAAGAUAGAAACAGCUUUGACGAGCAAAUCAAUUGCCAGAAUUGACUACAGGGCCAAAAGACUAAUCGUAUCAUUUAGUAGCUG